rnacentral:rRNA from 1 species
CCUACGGGUGGCAGCAGUGGGGAAUAUUGCACAAUGGGGGAAACCCUGAUGCAGCAACGCCGCGUGAGUGAUGACGGCCUUCGGGUUGUAAAGCUCUGUCUUCAGGGAAGAAAAUGACGGUACCUGACUAAGAAGCCCCGGCUAACUACGUGCCAGCAGCCGCGGUAAUACGUAGGGGGCAAGCGUUAUCCGGAUUUACUGGGUGUAAAGGGAGCGUAGACGGCAGUGCAAGUCUGAAGUGAAAGGCAAGGGCUCAACCCUUGGACUGCUUUGGAAACUGUGCUGCUGGAGUGUCGGAGAGGCAAGUGGAAUUCCUAGUGUAGCGGUGAAAUGCGUAGAUAUUAGGAGGAACACCAGUGGCGAAGGCGGCUUGCUGGACGAUGACUGACGUUGAGGCUCGAAAGCGUGGGGAGCAAACAGGAUUAGAUACCCGGGUAGUC